GUAGCAGUUCCUCCUUAAGGUCAGAGAUUGCAACAUCUGAGGGCCUCUUCAAAAGAAGACGUAGUUGAUGAAGGCGUUCUGGAGCAGGACCAGAAAGACCACGACCAAGCAGCCUUGGAAUCUUAGGCAGCAUCUCCCUCAGCCCAAAGAACUACAGACUCUUCACAACCUGCUCAAACUCUUGGUACAGGACCUCAGCACACGGGUCAAGAAGGUUUCCAUCUCAUUUCUACUCUGAAGCACACCUUCUCCUGCUCAAACUGCUGACAAAUGUUUCUGCUGCUCUAAAGUCUGCUCUCCAGAACUUCCUAAAAACUCUCAAAGUCUCUUCUGCUGCAGGCUGCUUUGUAGAACUGUUCCAGAAAACC
ensembl:lncRNA